CAUGUAAACUUGUAAUUUUUCCUGGCUGCCUAAUUAUCUAUUUUGUUAAUCUACUAAUUAUGACAAUACACAGUUUUGUGAAGCAUAUUCUUCAAAAUGGAACUCCUGGGCCAAAAUAUGAAUUUGGGAAUACAUUGCUCUUUUAUUUCUGAGUAAAUUUAGUUACAAACAAUGCAUAGGACACCCUGAUCACUCACACAAAUCACCUCCAGUGGAGAACAACACAAGAGCCAGAGCUUCUGUUGGACUCUGCUGUCAGACAAGUUAUUUUACAUGGGCCAUUUGUGUUUUUCAUGGGAAAAGUCUUUUUAAUUGAUUUAUUCAUUAAAUGAUAAAUGUAUAAA